GCUGGAAGAGCACCGCACGU
rnacentral:snRNA from 1 species